UUUUUUGAUGCUAAGUAUCAUCGCUGCUACUGCAACGUGUGUCAUAAUGACAGAGGAGAUAAACUGUAUUAUACUCGCGGAAAUCCACCAAAGGACUACGGUAUUCCAAUUGGAUGGUACAGGUAUGCCCUUUGCCUUCCACCUAAAGCAAAAGCUAUGAACGUAUUGGACAAAUGGCACAGGGCGUUCCAUGGCACUAAGAAAGAUGUGGUCACCAAGAUACUUGAAGUCGGGGAACUGCUCAUUCCAGGCGACGUAGCGUUGGGCGGCGACAAAAUAAGCGAGAGGGAAGGCCAUUUCAAAGACGACUAUAAACCUGAAGGGUUCGACACCAAGAAAAUAUUUGUAUCUCCUAGUAUCCGUUAUGCUGGCCAUGGCGCUUAUGCCAUGCCACACAAGUAUGUAUCCGUGUGUUGUAUCCGUGUGGUUUUUAUGAAAAGUAAGCAGUGUGUGUGUGUGUGUGUGUGUGUGUGUGUGUGUAAAUGUUUGUUUCAGAAGAACCCUGCUGUCAGUAUAGUAUUUUUCUAAUGAUAAGUAUAAUCAUUAUAUUGAUAAUAAAAAUCAUUGUUAUUAGUUUCAUUCUUAUAAAGCAGAAGUUGUCAGUUUAGUGAAGUGGUAAACAUCAACAUAGAUUUCUAAUGAUUUAUUAAAUUACAUCAAGUUUGACGCAAGAGAGCAGUAAUUGAGACAAAUAAAUUUUCAUCAUUCUGCAUUUUUUAGAAAAUCGAUGUAAAGCUACAUGACAACAUAAAAAUUUUGUUAUCCAUUAUCACAUCAUUCCAACACUGGCCUCCUCCAGAACUGAAUACCAUGACCUUUACUCGACGGUGACCUUUGGAGUAGAUGUUUGGUCGAUGACCGCGU